GUAGUAAAUAUUAUUAUACAUGGUAUUAAAAAAAGUGUAAAUAUACAUAAAUGUAAAAAAUGAUGUAUAAAAAGGAUUUAAAGGGACAUAUUUGUCAUUUACCUAUUUUAUCUCGGGAUAAGUUAUCCCGGGAUUACUAUACCACCCAUGGAGAGGGAUAACUUAUCCCGGUACUAAUUAUUAAUCCCGGGAUAAGUUAUCCCGGACUUGCCAACCAAACAACAUAAUUUUUUUUAUCCCAUCACUAUUUCCUUAUCCCAUCACUAUUAUUUCUAAUCCCUCACACCAAACGAGCCCUUAUAGUU
rnacentral:lncRNA from 1 species